GUUACAGAUAACUGCCUCUGUUUGAAAUCCGAUGGAUACCUGGCUUGCACGGGAAACGUGCACAAACAUAAGGAAACCGUGACAAGCUGGCAUUACAUCACCGUGACAAGUAAUUCUUAACUACUAGUGUUUAUUAUGAUCAUGGAACAAGCUACCAUAUACUGAACUUUCCAGGAGAGGAUGAGACCCUGUGGGUUUUUUCCAGACUAAUGUGAUUUGAUGGACCAAGACACCCUGAAAGGUCUUCAUAAACCCCUAAAAUUACUUUGCUAAACAUAUGGGGAAUCUCAUACUCAUAAGAAAGUGUCUCCUGGCCGAGGAAUCGUGACCUGACCUAUUCGUAACCUCCUGGCCUACGUGACCGACAUGGACCACGCGGCAAGAGACCAUGCCCCUGCCCGUCCCCCUUCCCCCCGCCAAAUUCCUCAUCCUAUUUAAGCUGUAACCAUACUCAA